CCGGCCGCCAGACCCUCGGCUUUCGAUCCAGAAACCGUAUUUUGUUCCUACACCCAGAAGGCAAGAAGCCUCAGCCCUCGGGGACAGACCAAAGGCCAGGGUUGUACCGGGCUCCGAACCAGGCUCCAAGCGGCACGGGACGCUCCUUCUACACUCUGACCGCGCGAGAGCAAUUGGAGAUCCUGGACUCAAGAUGUUUUCAGUAGGAACGAUUCCAGCCAGCGCUAACACCGGCCGGUCUGCAGCGUGGACGCCAAAACAGGCACCACGUGGUUCCGGCGCCGGGGCGGGGCCAGAGACGCCGGAAGUGGCCGCGCGCUCCACGGGCCCACCGGGAGGCGCGCUUUCAGACCAUGGCGACCCAAACGAAGCGCCCACGGGUGAGUGGCGGGUGCGGGGUCCAGCCUUCUCCUUCGCGCCUCACCCCUCCUCCACCCGCAGGGCCAUGCGCCUGCGCCCCCUCCGCUCCCUCCCGCGGGUCCCGCGCCCCUCUCCGCUCGUCCCCACCUCCACCCAAAGCUCGUUCUGCGCGCGCGCGUCGCGGUCUCCUGCCGUUCCCAGCGGGCUCUCUGGGGCCGGGCCUGGUCACUGCGCGCACUUAUCUCAGGUGGCGGGGCCUGUGGACCGCGGCGACCCGGAUCCUGUGGCCGGCUUCCUGAACUGGUGCCGGCUGGUGGGGCUGGAGCUGAGUCCCAAGGUGGCGGUCAGCCGGCAGGGCACGGUGGCCGGCUACGGCAUGGUGGCCCGGGAGAGCGUGCAGGCCGGAGAGCUGCUGUUCGUGGUACCGCGGGCCGCGCUCCUGUCGCAGCACACCUGCUCCAUUGGCAGCCUGCUGGAGCGAGAGCGAGGCGCGCUGCAGAGCCAGUCGGGCUGGGUGCCACUGCUGCUGGCGCUCCUCCACGAGCUGCAGGCCCCGGCCUCACGCUGGAGGCCGUACUUUGCGCUCUGGCCCGAGCUGGGCCGCUUGGAGCACCCGAUGUUUUGGCCAGAGGAGGAGCGCCGGUGCCUGCUGCAGGGCACAGGCGUACCUGAGGCCGUGGAGAAGGAUUUGGCCAACAUCCGCAGCGAGUACCACUCCAUCGUGCUGCCCUUCAUGGAAGCCCACCCCGAUCUCUUCAGCCUCAGGGUUCGCUCCCUAGAACUCUACCAUCAGCUCGUGGCCCUUGUGAUGGCCUAUAGCUUUCAGGAACCACUGGAAGAGGAGGAGGAUGAAAAGGAGCCCAACUCCCCAGUGAUGGUGCCUGCUGCAGACAUACUAAACCACUUAGCCAAUCACAAUGCCAAUUUAGAAUAUUCUGCGGGAUGAGGACAUUCACAGGCCAGAGAUCUAAGAUGAUCCUAGAACUGGUAUAAAGCUGUGUUUUUACCAGCUCUGUUCUAUACGGAAAAUUGCCUGAAAAGAUGACACAUUUAUAGGAUCGAAAAUUAGUUAAGUAUGGUUCUUAAUCCUUGCCUCCAUUUUCCUUUCCCACUUUGAUCUGCGAAAGUUUCAUUCCCCCGCCCCACCCCGCGCCGAGGAGUCUCGCUGUGUCACCCAGGCUGGAGUGCAGUGGCGUGAUCUGAGCUCACUACAACUUCCGCCUCCCGGGUUCAAGCAAUUCUCCCUGCUUCAACCUCUCAAGUAGCUGGGAUUACAGGCUCCCGACACCAUGCCCGGCUAAUUUUUGUAUUUUUUAGUAGUGACAGCGUUUCGCCAUGUUGGCCAGGCUGGUCUUGGAACUCCUGACCUCAAGUGAUUCACCCACCUUGGCCUCCCAAAGUGCUGGGAUUACAGGUGUGAGCCACCGCACCCGGCCAAAAAUUUCAUUUUUAAAGCUAGCAACUUUUUAAGUGCUGAAGAGGACUGUGCAGAAAUCCACCCACUUAAACAUGAAGCUGGCCUUUGAAAGUUAGCCUAACCCUUUUUUGUUUCACAGUUCAGGGUCUAACAGGAACUAAAGGUAGAACUUUGGUAGCUAACAGCAUCAGUCCCAUGGCUGAACUACACCUGCUAAAGGCUCUUAAGUGGAAGUAAUCUUCAUGGGGCUGGCCCGUGAAAGGCAUGGCCCCAGCUUCUCCCUUUCACCUCAGAAUUGUCUUCGGAUGGUAGCCACUCAGCCCAUUCCUAAAGGCCAUGAGAUUUUCAACACUUAUGGGCAAAUGGCUAACUGGCAACUGAUUCAUAUGUACGGUUUUGUUGAACCAUAUCCUGACAACACAGAUGACACAGCUGACAUUCAGAUGGUGACAGUUCGUGAGGCAGCAUUACAGGGAACAAAAACUGAAGCUGAAAGGCUCCUAGCGUAUGAGCGCUGGGAUUUCCUAUGCAAACUGGAGAUGGUAGGGGAAGAAGGAGCCUUUGUGAUAGGGAGGGAGGAGGUGCUAACUGAAGAGGAGCUGAUCACCACACUAAAGGUACUGUGCAUGCCUGCUGAGGAGUUCAGAGAGCUUAAAGACCAGGAUGGAGGGGGAGAUAAUAAAAGGGAAGAGGGCAGCCUGACGAUCACAAAUAUUCCCAAGCUCAAAGCAUCGUGGAGACAGCUGCUACGAAACAGUGUUCUAUUGACCUUACAGACCUAUGCCACAGACUUAAAAACUGACCAAGAUUUACUCAGUAAUAAGGAAGUCUAUGCCCAACUCAGCUGGAGGGAACAGCAAGCCUUACAGGUUCGCUAUGGUCAGAAGAUGAUCUUACAUCAGUUGUUGGAACUGACACAAGUUGGCAGUUUCCCUGUUCCCUGAAGGAACAGCAAUAAGAACUUUUAUUCUAAGCUAGUACUCAUUGAUGUUUGAAAAA